UACGUAGGGGCAAGCGUUGUCCGGAUUUAUUGGGCGUAAAGAGCUCGUAGGUGGUUCGGUAAGUCGGAUGUGAAAUCUCCAGGCUCAACCUGGAGGGGUCAUUCGAUACUGCCGUGACUAGAGUUCGGUAGGGGAGUGUGGAAUUCCUGGUGUAGCGGUGAAAUGCGCAGAUAUCAGGAGGAACACCGGUGGCGAAGGCGGGUCUCUGGGCCGAUACUGACGCUGAGGAGCGAAAGCGUGGGGAGCGAACAGG
rnacentral:rRNA from 1 species